GAUGAACGCUGGCGGCGUGCCUAAUACAUGCAAGUCGAGCGAACAGACGAGGAGCUUGCUCCUCUGACGUUAGCGGCGGACGGGUGAGUAACACGUGGAUAACCUACCUAUAAGACUGGGAUAACUUCGGGAAACCGGAGCUAAUACCGGAUAAUAUAUUGAACCGCAUGGUUCAAUAGUGAAAGACGGUUUUGCUGUCACUUAUAGAUGGAUCCGCGCCGCAUUAGCUAGUUGGUAAGGUAACGGCUUACCAAGGCAACGAUGCGUAGCCGACCUGAGAGGGUGAUCGGCCACACUGGAACUGAGACACGGUCCAGACUCCUACGGGAGGCAGCAGUAGGGAAUCUUCCGCAAUGGGCGAAAGCCUGACGGAGCACCGCCGCGUGAGUGAUGAAGGUCUUCGGAUCGUAAAACUCUGUUAUUAGGGAAGAACAAAUGUGUAAGUAACUAUGCACGUCUUGACGGUGCCUAAUCAGAAAGCCACGGCUAACUACGUG
rnacentral:rRNA from 1 species